rnacentral:lncRNA from 1 species
AUGGAUAGUAAAGACAGGAAAAUUAAGGCAAAAUUUAUUGUCUUCCAGUGAAACAAAUAUCACUAGUGCUACGACAUUUCUGCCAGAAGCAAUGGCAACUUUGAAAGACCUUUUCAUUGGCUUGCUGGAAAACUAACUGACAAUGCUUACCAGAAGUGCCUUGCUGUGUUUGUUCUGGUCCUACCAGAGGUUGCCAUGGAUCUACCUCUGGAAACUCAUGAAGCACAUGACUUAGUGUGGCUCUGACAACUGUUCUCCUGAGGGGAAUGAU